UUUGGGAGGUCGGGCCAUCAGUUUCGGCGUUUUUUCCAGAGAGGCAGGCUCACAGCGAUAUCGCGAGAGACGGGAAUUGCUCUGUCACGCAAGCUGGAGUGCAGUGGUGCCAUCUCGGCUCACUGUGACCUCUGCCUCCUGGGCUCAAGCCAUCCUCCCACCUCAGCCCUUCAAGUAGCUGGGAUUACAGGUCACCAUCCUCUCACUCGCCUCUGACUUUUCGCACAGGAGAGAGCUGGUCGAAUAGUACAAUUCCCCGAUGUGAAUGGGGAGAAGCUGGGGAAAGGAAGAAUGAUCUUCAGGCAGUAAGGGCCCCUACUCCAGUAUGAUUGGUGUCCUUAUAAAAAGGAGAAAUUGGACACAGACACCCUACCAAGAAGAACACUAUGUGAAGAUGAAGGCAGAGAUCAGGGUGAUGCCUCUACUUGCUGAGAAACUCCUACAGUUGCCAGCCCACCACUAGAAGCAAAGGAAGAAGCACAGCCCUCAGAAGGAACCAACCCUGCUAAUGCCUUGGUCUUGGACUUGCAGCCUCCAGAACAGCGAGCCAAUACAUUCCUGUGGUUUAAGCCACUGACUGUGGCACUUUAUUACAGCAGCACUAGGAAACUCAUACAGGAGGUGACAGUGCUCAGAUGAAACAGGACCUUCCACUUCCAUGGCAAAGCCCUCAUCUUUCGUGCCCAUGCGCCAUUUGAUCUGCACACAAAUCACUGAGCAGGUUCCUCAGCUAUUAUUAUCCCCACCUUUCAGAUGGAAAGAACUGAAGCUCAAGAGGGCCAAAGAAAUUUGGCUAUGGCUUUCUUUAUUUUCUUUUUCAUGGGCAGAAGUAGAUUUCAGUUUUGGUCCCUUUCCACUACCAUAUCAGGUUGCCUUAAGGCAACUUUGAAAAGUCUAAAAUAUUAAACAGUUUGUGAAGUUAUUAUCAUUAUUCAUAAAGGACAGCGCGAGGUUAGUCUUACCCUAGAGAGCCCCAUUGUUGGCCCAAAGCAUCUUGCCAGGAGCCCUAUAGGACCAUGUUUUCAAGGCCCCCAAAGAGCACAGGGCUAUUGGUCCAUCCCAGCUCCUGGAAUGGCUCAUUGUACCCACCCUGCCUCCAGCUGAGGAGCCAGGGAGAAGCACUGACCCCUGAUCUUGCUAUCCCUUCCAUUACACUCUUGCCAGAGGAGCUUUUUUCAGGGGUGGCCGCUUCCCUCUCCUCAAGAGAAUUCUGGGGACCAACCAGCUCAGGCCUGCUGUUGGCCUCAGGGUCACAUCUCACCCAGACACCCCCACCAUUCCCUCAGGUCUAGGGAUGCUGCUCCCCUACCAUGGGAUCUUCUUUUUAUUUUUAUUUAUUUAUAUUUUCCUUAUGCCUAGUGUAAAGGGAUUUCUUUUCUUUUUUGUUUUUGUUUUUUUUUUGAGAUGGAGUCUUGCUCUGUCACCCAGGCUGGAGUGCAGUGCAGUGGCGCUAUCUCGGCUCACUGCAACCUCCACCUCCUGGGUUCAAGUGAUUCUCCUGCCUCAGCCUCCCAGGAGCUGGGAUUACAGGUGUGCCACCACAUUUGGCUAAUUUUUUUACUUUUAGUAGAGAUGGGGUUUCACCAUGUUGGCCAGGCUAGUCUCGAUCUCCUGACCUCAGGUGAUCCACCCGCCUCAGCCUCCCAGAAUGCUGGGAUUACAGGCAUGAGCCACCGCUCCCAGCCAGGAUCUUCUUUUUAAAGCUAUCACCACCCACUCUCAUUCCCCAGGACUCUCCUCACCCCUCCGGCUGCAAAGGCAGCUGGUGUCCCUACUGGCUCCUUCCUUUCUGCCCCUAAAGACAGGCACACAGGUGAUUUUCCUUUUAAGUGUUUUUCUGUGGAUUACUGCGGGGAAAUUGACAGGGGCUACAGGGGCUGAUAAAAGGAAUAAUCUUUGAUAUUCUUUCAGUUGGGUCGCUGAUUUUCUUGCUGGGCUGACAAGAGCAAUCUUCCCUACUUGGAAUCUUGGUUUUAUUCCUUAGCAUGGGCCUUAUCAAACCUACUUUUUAAUGAAGGGAGAAUGAAGAAGCCAUUGAAGCAGACCUCUAGCUGCCAGUCAGGUCUGCUCUGAAGGCUGCCUAUCUGCGGGGACAUGUGACUUCUGGGGCUUUCCAGAUUAAGUAAUGCUCACCCCACAUGUCUGAAAUUCUCCAAACACUAUUCCGGCCCUGCUGUGAUUCUUAGAGCAGAGGUUCUUUGCCUUUUUAGUGUAAUGGAUCCCUCAGCAACUUGGUGAGCCCUUCUCAGAAUAAAGUUUCUAAUGCAGAAAGUAAAACACAUGGGAUAAUAAGGGAAGUCAUGUCCUUUGAAAUCCUUAUCAAAAAUAUUUUUCAAAUUUUGUGAUAUAAUAAGUUUGGUUGCUAUUAUAUAGCAUAAUAUAACUUCAUAUCUAAUAGCUAUUGUUAUUUUGAAGUAGUGGUGAAUAUAUAUGCUAUUUUGAGAUGUCUAAAACAACUGUAAUGUGUUACAAAAAUAUCCAUGAUUUCUAUCGGUGACAAAGUCAAAAGUAUCGUGAAUACGUCUGUGAUUUGCAAGCUACAUCCAAAAUGGAAGGAAAUCCUAAUGUUUGGUUAGUGAUUGAUAAAAAUAAAGAUGUGGGCGGGCGCGGUGGCUCACGCCUGUAAUCCCAGCACUUUGGGAAGCCAAGGCGGGCAGAUCAUGAAGUCAGGAGAUCAAGAUCAUCCUGGCCAGCAUGGUGAAACGCCGUCUCUACUAAAAAUAAAAAAAUUAGCUGGGCAUGGUGGCGUGUGUCUGUAGUCCCAGCUACUUGGGAGGCUGAGACAGGAGAAUCACUUGAACCCAGGAGGCG
rnacentral:lncRNA from 1 species